rnacentral:rRNA from 1 species
UACGGAGGGUGCGAGCGUUGUCCGGAAUCACUGGGCGUAAAGGGCGCGUAGGCGGCCCGUCAAGCGUGUGGUGAAAGCCCGGGGCUCAACCCCGGGUCGGCCGUGCGGACUGGCGGGCUCGAGCACUGUAGGGCGGGUGGAAUUCCGGGUGUAGCGGUGGAAUGCGUAGAGAUCCGGAAGAACACCAGUGGCGAAGGCGGCUCACUGGCCCGAUACUGACGCUGAGGCACGAAAGCGUGGGGAGCAAACAGG